UUUUUUUUCUGUAGCAAACAUCUUUCCUGUGAAAAAUUCCCUCUCCUAGUACUUUAGUUCUGUGGAUCCAAAAUUUAUAGCAUUCUUCUACCACCACAGGGGCUCAUAUGACAUUAACAGACAAGACACUUUUCAGAAAGACAGGGAACUGUGGAAGUAAACCAGGGGUGACAUGGAUUAUCAAAUAUUGUGGAUCAGGUUGUUCUUUUGGGCCACAUCUAAGAAAUCUUUGUCUAGCCAAAAGCCACAAAUAAUUUCUCAUUUUUUGGCUUCUGGAAGAUGUACAGUUAAAUGUUAUAUUUGGGACUGUUAUCUAAUUUGGUUAAAUUGCACUCUACAAUAUGGUAUUUGAAUUGAUGAAAAAUUAGUAAAUGUUAAUAUUUUUUAAAGUAGCCAAAUCUUGCAAUUUAUAUAUAAUAGAGAAGACUAGAAAAUCCCCCAUAUUUAUUUCCUCUUACUUCGUACUACUAAAAUUUGUAUUUAGGCAUUUGGUUUCUCAGAUAAACAUUACAUUCCCCAGUAUAUGGUUCUAUCUGGCUUGGUGACGACAUGUUGAACAUUAAGAUGUGAGCAGAAGUAAUACAUACACACUCUUUUUCAUGUCUUUAAUUGAAUGGGAUAUUGGCCCAUUUUUUCUUCCAGUUUAUUACACUGAAUAUUGACAUGUUAUUUUCCAAUAUUGAGACAAUCAAUGACAAGACUUUAAGAGUAACAAUGUAAAAAUACAGAAGUUGUCUGAGUUUAUCAACAAUCCCCUGGAUUAGAACCCCCUACCAGUUCUAGGUCAUCUAAUAUAUAGACAUUGUGUUCAGUAGAAAUAAAUAUAUAUAUUUUUUAUUAUGCUUUAAGUUCUAGGAUACAUGUGCACAACAUGCAGUUUUGUUACAUUGGUAUACACGUGCCAUGUUGGUUUGCUGCACCCAUUAACUCAUCAUUUACAUUAGGUAUUUCUCCUAAUGCUAUCCCUCCCCCUGCCCCCACCCCCGACAGGCCCUGGGGUGUGAUUUUCCCCACCCUGUGUCCAAGUGUUCUCAUUGCUCAAUUCCCACCUAUGGGAAUACAUUUUUAAAUCAUUUUUAAAGGUGUUAUUACAUUCUGAUUGAACAUUUUCAGAAAGAAUAAAUAAUUUAAUACAAGAAGUGGGCCACUUCAUGUAACAAAACAAACCACCACUACAGCAACAACAACAAAAAACACUAAUGAAUGUGACUUUAGCUUUGCAACAUCGUGACAGACUAGCAAGUUAAUGACAUUUGUUAUGCCAUAGAAAAUAUUUGUUGAAUUGCCACUCUAAUGACUUUAUAUCAGCCAACUCAUUAUCAACACUAGAAAAGAUGAUUAAAAAAUACUUCAGUACGUUCACGUGUUGGCUUGUUAACAUUUUUAAGAGUCUAUAAGAGAAAAAUGCAUCCAAUCUUGACAAAAAUAUUUUUCAAGUAUCUUGUAGGUACGUACAACUAACUACCUUGUGAACAAAAGUCACUAUAUAAUUAUAUAAUUUCUGACACUUAAAAAAGUUUAUUGUGCUAAAGAAGAUAUAUGUUCUAAUACCAAAUCCACAUAUAAAAUAAUUGACUUAAAUAAUUUAAGAUGCUCUUUUAUAUAUUUAUAUUAAAAACUUUACAGAGAAUAAAAAAAGCAUUAUACAGGCUACUUAUGGUUUUUGAUGUUUGGAUCUACAAUACAUGUAUCAAAGAUUGUGGAAAUAAAUCAAACAAUAUAUUCAAUUGGACUUAAUUGCAUUAUUACAUGCCAAGUGUCGUAUACCAUCUAUUUGCACAUAACACUUUUUAAUUUAGGUAAAAUUAUUAUCAUAAAGCUACAUGAAUUUAUUUUAUUCCAUGUUAUUAUUUAUGUAUUGUUAGGAACAUUUGCUUAAAAAUCAUAUUUGGACAUAGUUAGUAUCAGAUACUUUACAUCCUUUGAAUCAGUUAUUUUAUAACAGUAUAUACUAAACAUCAUUACUCCUUUUCAAACAUAAAUAACGCAAUACAAAUUGGACAAAAAAUUCAGGAAAGAUCUGGGAUCAAAAAGGAGGUAUUGAAACAUCACAUGUACUCCAUAAUUAUAUACAAAUAUUUUGUACCCAUAAUAUUUAAAAUACAGAAAAUUAAAAGGUGCAUUUUCCUCAAAGUGCAUGCUUCUUUUGCUAUGCAAAACUGCAAGAUAUGGAAAGAAGUGUAUUAAAACACUAAAUCACUUUAUGUGGAAGAUAAAAGGGAUGGUACCCAAUGUAAGACUUCAUGUAGUGCACUGAUACAUUCAAUACAAAUGAUGUAUUAACUUCAAGAUAACAUGAGAAAGUUAAAUUAUCUAACUUAUUUCAAACUAGGGGAUAGUAUGUUCUCAUUAUUAGAAGCCAGAAUUCUGCUUAUCCAUUUCUAUUAUUAGAAAAAAACAUAAUUUUUAUUCUUGUCUUAAAAAUAGACACCAUGAUAUCAUUCUCUGUAAAUGCAGCAUGAUAGUCUGUUUACAGAGUUUAUAUCAUUCCAAGACUGCACUUCUAAAGUGAGAAAAUAUUAAAGGAUAUAAACUCACUCCUCUCUACAAAAUUCCUUAUUUUUUAUGCAAUGGCUUUAAAAUGUAUGGAAGGGGAGUUAUGGAAACAAUCCAUACCUGGAAAGCAUUCUAUCCAUGCCUUUGAAAUGGUUAUCUAGUACUAGAUUCUUAUCAGUGCCUAGCUAUGUAAUGUGUGUAGCUUAAGAUUUUUAAGAAAGAAGGAUAAAAUGCUCAAUAUAAAUUUAAAAAGCACUUUUAUUGGAAUAUUGAAUCAUAUAUUUGCUUUCUGUAAGUCCUUUUAUCUAUAAAAUAAUAGUUGAGAAAGGCAAAUAGAAUAUGUGGAGGAAUUAAAAAUUCAGUUGUAGGGUGGUAAAUGAAAACCAAAUUUUUCAUUCACCACAUUAAAUGUAAAUGGGUAUUAUACUCAAUUUAAGCAGCAAAGUUGCUUUUUUUUUUUUUUUUUUUUUUG
rnacentral:lncRNA from 1 species